CCCUCCCACCCCAUUUGUGACUCAUUCAUUCGGCUUUUCUUCCUUUGUUUCAUCGAACCUAUGUGCAGCUCCCCUCCCUUUCUCUUUCCCUUCCUUCUCCCCUCCCUCCCUCCCAUCCUCUCCCCAUUUCAUUCCUCCAUUCCCUCUGUUCAUCACUUCACAGUGUCUUCCACCUACCCAUGCACCCUUCCGCUCGCUCUCGCGCUCCCGCCUUUUCUGCCCUCCUACUCUCCUCUCUUUCUGGAUUUGGCCUGAAUAACUUCAGAUUUCCUGCCAGUCGACUCAGUUUUGCCACGAGGACUUCUUUGGCUCAGAGCCACCCACAUAGUUGCCAGGGGAGAAACUUCCAGAGCUGGGCCCAACAGCUGUCUUGGAGGCCUUUCUGGCCAAGACUGAUUCCUGGGUGUGGCUGCUCCUCUCUUGGGAGGAAAUGGUUCAUAAAGAUGACCUUUGGAUCGAUAAUGUAUUGGAGAUUUGUUCAGAUAGGUUCCUGUGGACUUAGGAGCUUCUUUUGUUCCUGGAGUCAUGGAUAUUGGGAAACCUUCAAGACCUCCUUGCCACGUAGGCUCCAUAGGAACCCGGCAGUUGUUGCAAUCUGGAGCGCUCCUGACCCCUGCCCAGCUUCUCUCUGGGGAGCUCCAAGCAGGAUCUUAGCUGUGAGACUUCUGCUUGUUGCUAGGUGCAGAGAAAACAAAUAUUGUUUUAGAAACAUUAAUAAUUGA
rnacentral:lncRNA from 1 species